ACGAAUCGGUGUUUUGUCGUCUGCUGCACGGCAUAGUUCAAGUUUUCCAUUACGGCUAGCAUAACGGAAUGAUGGGUGCAUGGAAGUUGCCAUUGAGGAAGUCUUGCAGAAAGAGAUCAAACCAGGAAAACGGGCAUUGAACUUUGACCUGGAGUGCACCGACUUCGAUGGCAAGAAGGUCGACACGCCCCACGAUGAGACACCUGCUGCUCCUGCAAGAUGGCGCCGUGCAGCUCACCUCGUCAUUAGUGAACGCCGCGUUUUGCCACAUGCAUCGGCAGCUCGGAUAUAAGCGUCCGGGUUCAGACGGAUUUGUUUGUCAUGGGCCUUCAUCAACGUGACUACGGAGAAGCAGCCGUGCACAAAGCCGGUCAACACGUCAACCAUAUACUUUCGAACGGCAUAGUGAUGGAGGAACCCAGACAAUCAGCUUCAUACUGGUAGCCGUUCCUCUUCUCCGCAAGCGUUUUUAUUACAGGAAAAGAAUGAAAUUUCUCCAAUGGUAUACCGGCGAGGGCGCCAGCGUUUCGCAUUGACCACUCAUCUCUUGAAAAGAACGAAUGCGAAAUUCGCGCCUCCAUUUGAUCUCCCAGUCUGCCUCAUCUACGAACAUUCGCAGUGGUAAUAAAAUUGUGCCAACUUGCGGUUGUUGAAGCGCUGCGCUAUGUGGCUGGGUUCCUUUUACUAGCGUUAGCAGUCUCGUGGCAUGAUCAAAAAAAGAAAAAAAAAAAACAAUGCUCGCAGCCUUCGGUGCAAUUCUAAAACAAGAAAAUAAACAGUACACUUUUGUGACCUUGCAGAAUCGCAGCCUGAUUUCCAACGAAGCUGCUCCUUUCGAGCCGUGGCAAGAGGAACUACUGCAGUUUCCUG